UAGGGAAUAUUGGGCAAUGGAGGCAACUCUGACCCAGCCAUGCCGCGUGCAGGAUGACGGCCCUCUGGGUUGUAAACUGCUUUUAUACGGGAAGAAAAGUUGCUACGUGUAGCAAAAUCGACGGUACCGUAAGAAUAAGGAUCGGCUAACUCCGUGCCAGCAGCCGCGGUAAUACGGAGGAUCCAAGCGUUGUCCGGAUUUAUUGGGUUUAAAGGGUGCGUAGGCGGAUCUUUAAGUCAGUGGUGUAAGCCUGCAGCUUAACUGUAGAAUAGCCAUUGAAACUGAAGAUCUUGAAUUUGGUUAAAGUAGGCGGAAUGUAUCAUGUAGCGGUGAAAUGCUUAGAUAUGAUACAGAACACCGAUAGCGAAGGCAGCUUGCUGAACCAAUAUUGACGCUGAGGCACGAAAGCGUGGGGAGCAAACAG
rnacentral:rRNA from 1 species